rnacentral:rRNA from 1 species
AAACCAACAGGGAUUGCCUCAGUAGCGGCGAGUGAAGCGGCAAGAGCUCAGAUUUGAAAUCGUGCUUUGCGGCACGAGUUGUUGAUUGCAGGUUGGAGUCUGUGUGGAAGGCGGUGUCCAAGUCCCUUGGAACAGGGCGCCCAGGAGGGUGAGAGCCCCGUGGGAUGCCGGCGGAAGCAGUGAGGCCCUUCUGACGAGUCGAGUUGUUUGGGAAUGCAGCUCCAAGCGGGUGGUAAAUUCCAUCUAAGGCUAAAUACUGGCGAGAGACCGAUAGCGAACAAGUACUGUGAAGGAAAGAUGAAAAGCACUUUGAAAAGAGAGUGAAACAGCACGUGAAAUUGUUGAAAGGGAAGGGUAUUGCGCCCGACAUGGGGAUUGCGCACCGCUGCCUCUCGUGGGCGGCGCUCUGGGCUUUCCCUGGGCCAGCAUCGGUUCUUGCUGCAGGAGAAGGGGUUCUGGAACGUGGCUCUUCGGAGUGUUAUAGCCAGGGCCAGAUGCUGCGUGCGGGGACCGAGGACUGCGGCCGUGUAGGUCACGGAUGCUGGCAGAACGGCGCAACACCGC